AAGGUCAGGAGAUUGAGACCAUCCUGGCUAACACGGUGAAACCCCGUCUCUAAUAAAAAAUACAAAAAAUUAGCUGGGCAUGGUGGCACGCGCCUGUAGUCCCAGCUACUUGGGAGGCUGAGGCAGGAGAAUGGCAUGAACCCGGGAGGUGGAGCUUGCAGUGAGCCGAGAUCACGUCACUGCACUCCAGCCUGGGUGACAGAGCAAGACUCCGUCUCAAAAAAAAAAAAAAACAAAAAACCAAUUUUUAAAUGGGCAAAGGACUUGAAUAGGCAUUUCUCCAAAGGAGAUAUACAAAUGGCUAAUAAACACGUCAAAAUGUGCUCAACCUCACUGAUCAUUAGGGAAGUGCAAAUCAAAACUACAGACACAGCUGGGUGCAGUGGUGCGUGCCUGUAGUCCCAGCUACUCAGAAGGCUGAAGUGGGAGGAUUGCUUUAGCCCGCAAGGUCAAGACUGCAGUGAGCUCUGAUAGCGCUGCUGCACUCUGGCCUGGGUGACAGAGUGAGACCCUGAAAAAGAAAAUUAGCUGAGCAUGGUGGUGUGCGCCUGUAGUCCCAGCUACUUAGGGACUAAGUAGGGGACUGAAGCAGGGGGAUUGCUUGAGCCCAGGAGUUCUGGGCUGUAGUGCACCAUGCCUACCUGGUGUCUGUACGAAGUUCAGCAUCAAUAUGGUAACCUCUGGGACUACCACGUUGCUUAACGAGGGGUGAACUGGCACAGAGUAGAAGUGGAGCAGGUCAAAACUCCUGUGCUGAUCAGCACUGGGAUCACACCUGUGAACAGCCACUGCACUACAGCCUGGGCAAAAUAGUGAGACCCCCAUCUCAUUCAUUCAUACAUACAUAUAUAUACGUACAUACAUACAUACCUAAGUACAUACCUACCUACCACAGGGAGAUACCAGCUCACACCCAUGAGGAUGGCUGUUUUCAAAAACACAGAAAAUAGAGCUUGCAGAUAGCUGAACAGGUAGCACAGCUGGGGAGGAUGUGGAGGCUCCGUGCCCCUUCUCACAGGCCCUGCCCAGUGCAGCUCUUCAUCUAUGUCCUUUGUAAUAUCCUUUAUGAUAAAUGGGUAAGCACAAGGCAGAUGGAAUUCACAGACUGUGGCUGCUGUUUUUAAACAGGGUUUGCCAAUAUCUGUGUGUCUCUUGGGAGGAUGAGGCUGUCUUUCUGCAACAAGGGAGAACAGAAUCACAAGAUCUUUAGGGGGGACCUUGACAUUUCCUGUGGCAGAUUUCAGUAUUGCUGGUCAGAACUCAUUUCAUCCAUCAGAGUUGCUAUAGGCUUUCUUUCUAAGUUCCUUAAUCAUCUUUAGCCUUCCUUGGAUUUACCAGGCCGUGGAUGCUGAAAAUAACAAUCCUGGUGUUUUAGGACAGGAGUGGACUUUUUUUUUCUGAGCUGGAAUCUUGCUCAGUCGCCCAGGCUGGAGUGCAGUGGCGUGAUCUCGGCUCACUGCAAGCUCCGCCUCCCGGGUUCACGCCAUUCUUCUGCCUCAGCCUCCUGAGUAGCUGGGACUACAGGCGCCCACCACCACGCCCAGCUAAUUUUUUGUAUUUUUAGUAGACACAGGGUUUCACCGUGUUAGCCAGGAUGGUCUCGAUCUCCUGGCCUCGUGAUCCACCCACCUCGGCCUCCCAAAGUGCUGGGAUUACAGGCGUGGGCCACCGUGCCCGGCCGAGUGGACUUUUUUCCCAUGAACCCUGUGGGCAGUCUGCUACUUCGUAUGUGUAUAUGGCCUUCCUGAAAGCAUGUCUGAAAAUUGAAUAUCAAACCUGUAUCUUAACAAUACACUGUCAGCCGGACACUCACACAGUCCGAUGAGUUACCUGAGUGAGGAUGAAGAUCUACAGCUUUGGCAUGGCCACUCACCUCUGUCUUCUCUCGGUAGUAGUAUUUUAUGAAACCUGUGUUUUUCACUGGUAUCAACUAUUCCAUUUUCUCAUUUUCACUACUUUUUAUAAAAUAUUAAUGGCAAAAUAUAAUAAAGCAGUCAAACUCUUUCCACAGCAGCAAUCACUGCCACCACAACAAAAACACCCCACAGAAAAUAAGUGUUGUGGAGGAUGUGGGGGAAUCUGAACACUUGUGCGCUGUUGGCAGGACUGUAAAAUGGUGCAGCCACUGUGGAAAACAGUAUGGCAGCUCGCCAAAAAACCAAAAAUAGAACUACCACAUGAUCCAGCAAAGUAUAUACCUAUGGGUGUGUACGCAAAAGAAGGGAAAGCAGGGACUCCAGGAGACCUUUGUGCACCAUCUCUGUAGCAGCAUCAUUCACAACAGCCAAAAGAUGGAAGUGACCCAGGUGUCCACUGAUGGGUGAAUGGAUAAAGAAAACGUGGGCUGUUCAUACAUGGAAUAUUAUUCAGCCUUAAAAAGGAAGGACAUUCUGACAUGUUCCAGUGUGGAUGAACCUUGAGGACAUUAUGCUAAGUAAAAUAAGCUAGUCACAAAAAGACAAGUACCAUAUGAUUCCACUAGACCGUGAGGUGCCUACACUAGACAAAAUUAUAGCAACCGAAAGGCGCUGAGGUGGCUGCCAGGGGCUGGAUGGAGGGAGGAAUGGGGACUAUUUCAGUUUUGCAAGGUAGAAAAGUUAUGGAGAUGGCUGCUGGUGGUGAUGGCACAUUAUGAAUGUUACUUAUUACCACUGAAGUGGUAAUAAGUGGUAAUCACUUUAAAAUGAUUAAGAUGGCAAAUGUUAUGUGUACUUUACCACAGUUUUUUCAAUGUUUAUAUAAUUACAUAAUUUAAUCUUAAAUAUCUUUUUAAAAUUUUUAUUUAUUUAUUUAUUUAUUUAUUUAUUUAUUUGAGACGGAGUCUUGCUCUGUCACCCAGGCUGAAGUGCAAUGGUGUGAUCUCGGCUCAGUGCAGCCUCUGUCUGCUGGGUUCAAGUGAUUCUCCUGCCUCAGCAUCCUGAGUAGCUGGGGCUACAGGCAUGUACCACCACACCUGGCUAAUUGUUAUAUUUUUAGUAGAGACAGGGUUUCACUAUGUUGGCCAGGCUGGUCUCAAACUCCUGAUGUCAAGUGAUCUGCCAGCCUCAGCCUCCCAAAGUGCUGGGAUUACAGGCGUGAGCCGCCAUGCCUGCCCCCUGCCCCGUUGUUUUUGUUUGUUUGUUUGUUUGUUUUGUUUUUUAAAUAGAGAUAGGGUUUUGCUCUGUUAUCCAGGCUGGAGUGCAGUGGUGUGAUCAUGGCUCACUGCAGCCUCAAACUCCUGGGCUCAAGGAAUCCUCCCGCCUCAGCCUCCCAAAGUGUUGGGAUUACAGGUGGGAGCCACCGCGCCCAGCCCAUGAAGCUUUUAAUCCAGGGCAGAUCCUGCACCUCUGGAUGGGGACCCAGUCAUCUUGGACCUGGGCCUUUCAGCUGUACUGGGCCCCUGCUGUCCCCUGGCAAGCUCCCAUUCCCAUCAGGGGCCAAUGGAAGUCCCUGGGAGCCUAAAUGUCUAGUUGAGCUCUAGCCCCUGGUGGUGAUAUAGCUUGGUGCGUAGUUAGUGCUUGGCUCAUGUCGGCUGUUAGUAAAGACUCUCAAGCUCUGCAUUGGCUUCCCUCCGAGGGCUCUGCCUGGAUCCAUCAGCAGCACUUACUCUCUCUGAGUUGACAACACAGAUGGCACUUACUCCAGAGCUGUUUGGCAGGAUUCCAGGCUAUCGCCACAUUCUUGAGAAGGUUGGUUGAAUCCACAGAUGCAGAACCCAUGGCUACAGAGGGCCAACUGUCUAUGACUUAGAAUCAGGGAGAUACAGUAUAAGCCACUGACCCAUCUUCGAGCUGAAUUCUUCGGUGACUCUUCCAUACAGUUGGUGGCAAUAGAUGCCUGGAACACCGCUAAAGAAGUCAGGUCUCCUGCCCUCGUGGAGCUUGCUGUGACUGGGUCCAAGUACACCCCUCCAAACGAGACUUCGCCUUAGACUGAAGGGUUGGACUCUGGAUUUUUGCUUGUCAAUGCACCUCUCUUCUAGCCUCUCAGUUAGAUAUCUGGACACCAGACGAAAAUUACCCUGAGGAUCACCGUGCUGACAGAGUGCGUGACAGAUGGAGGGAUGAUCACACUUCCCGGCUUCUGCCUGCUGUCCUGGCAUCAUUAUUAACAGAGUCCUCCCCACCCCCUUCGAAGUGUCCUGAUAUGGAUCAGAAAACACUGAGGGAGUAAUCAUUGACAUCUAUCGCGUUCCACAAAUUCGCAGUGGAGAGGGUCUGGGUUUGCAGUGAGAGAACUGCUUCAGGUCCACAGCCUGUUCUAAUGCAGGUCAAGUCCAUGGAGUCUGCGGGAGGGUCGGUGGGAUUGUCUGGGGCUCCGUUCUCCCAUGGGCAUCUGCUACUUGGCAUGUUCCAUUCACUCCUAGAAGCAUCAAAAUCUGGGAUGGUUUGGUUCAUGAAACAUAAACAUGUACAUAUAACAACCAGAACACAUUAUCUUAAGGUAAAAAUCACAUCAAAUCUCAAAUUGUUAUUCUUUGGAAUGGAUAAAAAGGAUAUUAGUAUUUUUGUCAAUUUAAGUUUUAUAGAGAAAGUUGGAAAAAUAAUUAUAUAGGGACACUUGUCUUGGUUAACUUGGACAGAGAUUUUUUUUUCUGUUGCUGUGGAAAAGGUACAGGCAUAGGAUUUUUCUAAGAAGUUUCAUUUUUUAUGCAAGUGAUAUACUGUGGGAGGAGGUUAAAGGAAACAGCCAGAAAGACAGGUAAGAAGCUUGAUGUUUGUGACAAAUUGAUAACUUGCAGCCUGUGAUGUUGGCAGGUGUUGCUGACAGGGUCAUCUGGGGCCAGGUGGUCACUGUCCUGAGGACUUGCCGGAUUCCCAGAAUGCUGCCUGCCUGUUCGGUGGCUCUGAGACAUCAGCACCUGGAGGUUUCUGGGCUCUGGCGCCUGGUUUCUGAUUCAGUAGGUCUGUGGUUGGGCUGAGAAUGAGCAUCUCUAGCGAGUUCCCUGGGUGACACUGCUGGUAGAGGUGGGGGGUAUCUUUGGAACCACCACUCAAAGUCUGGAGAGGAAUUGGAAGGGUCAUAGGGACUUACCUGUAAGAUAAAAGGUUGCCCUUAUAAUAAUAAUGAUGAUGAUGAUGACGUAACAAAGAAUUUCUGUGCAGUAAUGCCAGGAGCUGUGCUAUGUGUAUUUAAUCCUCUCAAAAGCACUGGAAGGAGGUGACAGUGGCCUCAUUUUACAGAUGAGAAAACUGAGGCCCAAGGCUGGGCACGGUGGCUCAUGCCUGUAAUCCCAGCACUUUGGGAGGCCAAGGUGGGCGGAUCACCUGAGGUCAGGAGUUUGAGACCAGCCUGGCCGACAUGAUGAAACCCUGUCUCUACUAAAAAUACAAAAAUUAGCUGGGUGUGGUGGCCCAUGCCUGUAGUCCCAGCUAAUCGGGAGGCUCAGGCAGGAGAAUCGCUUGAACCCGGAAGGGGGAGGUUGCAGUGAGCUGAGAUUCGUGCCACUGUACUUCAGCCUGGGUGACAGAGUGAGACUUUUGUCUCAAAAAAAAGAAAGGAAAGAA